rnacentral:sRNA from 2 species
CCCCACAUUUAACCACCCGAUCAGUCUUCAAAAAUACAUCAUCAUGGACAGCAGAAGCAGCACUAUCAACGCUUUUUUCUUUUUCUCUUCUUUCUUGGUGUUGCUGUGAGUUGUAAGUGGACGCAGUAUGGUUCACAUUGAUUGACGACUGAGUGAGCGUAUACUUAUGCAGGCCUGAAAUUGCGGCGCUGGGUGUCCAACAGGAAUGGGCACAUAUUUUCUCAGAUCAACCAGCACGGAGUUAGAGUUUGACACACUAUCGAUCAACAGUGCUACCAGCGACUAUUAUUCUUAUUAUUGUUAUUUAUUUCCUGUUCCUCCUCUCUUCAAAGACCUCAUGGAAUCCUCGUGACGCAGUGUUCAUUCCCAGAAGGUCAAGAAUUCUAUCCUGAUUGCCAGUACCCAGCAAUACACGCCGAUUACCGUUCCUGUACCAUACUUGCCUUGAUGUAAACAAACAAUG